rnacentral:tRNA from 6 species
GCGGACGUGGAGAAACCGGCAGACUCGCAGCCUUGAGGGGGCUGUGGCCGCAAGGCCGUGUGGGUUCAAAUCCCACCGUCCGCA